CAGCAGCCGCGGUAAUACGUAGGUGGCAAGCGUUGUCCGGAAUUAUUGGGCGUAAAGGGCUCGCAGGCGGUUUCUUAAGUCUGAUGUGAAAGCCCCCGGCUCAACCGGGGAGGGUCAUUGGAAACCGGGAAACUUGAGUGCAGAAGAGGAGAGUGGAAUUCCACGUGUAGCGGUGAAAUGCGUAGAGAUGUGGAGGAACACCAGUGGCGAAGGCGACUCUCUGGUCUGUAACUGACGCUGAGGAGCGAAAGCGUGGGGAGCGAACAGGAUUAGAUACCCCCGUAGUCCCUGUCUCUUAUAC
rnacentral:rRNA from 1 species